rnacentral:rRNA from 1 species
UGGGGAAUAUUGGACAAUGGGGGGAACCCUGAUCCAGCAAUGCCGCGUGUGUGAAGAAGGCCUGAGGGUUGUAAAGCACUUUCAGUGGGGAGGAGGGUAAUUUGGUUAAGAGCUGAAUGACUGGACGUUACCCACAGAAGAAGCACCGGCUAACUCCGUGCCAGCAGCCGCGGUAAUACGGAGGGUGCAAGCGUUAAUCGGAAUUACUGGGCGUAAAGGGUGCGUAGGUGGUUUGGUAAGUUAUCUGUGAAAUCCCUGGGCUUAACCUGGGCAGGUCAGAUAAGACUGCGAGACUCGAGUAUAGUAGAGGGUAGUGGAAUUUCCGGUGUAGCGGUGAAAUGCGUAGAGAUCGGAAGGAACACCAGUGGCGAAGGCGGCUACCUGGGCUAAUACUGACACUGAGGCACGAAAGCGUGGGGAGCAAACAGGAUUAGAUACCCCCGUAGUCC